GGUUUGUCUGCUCAGGAUAACCUGCCGUCCUAAUACGCAAGUCGAGGCAGAUAAGAGCUUGCUCCUUUGUCGUUAUCGGGGACGGGUGAGUAUGCGUGUAACUACCAUAGCCUGAAUAACUCGGAACCGGAUAAUAGCGAAUUAUUAAUCGCAUGGUUUAAAGUAAAAUGCCGGAUCACUAUGAUGGUCCCCGGGUUUAGCUAGUGGUAAGGUACCGCUUCAAGCAACAAAGCGAUCGACCUGAGAGGGUGCGCCGCUGAACUGAUGGCUCGGUCCACUCCUCGGGAGGCACCAGUAGGGAAUCUCCCAAUGGCGAAAGCCUGGCGAACAACGUCGCGUGAGUGAUGAAGGUCUUCGGUCGUAAGUCUGUAUUAGGGAAGAGCAAAUGCGUAAGUACUGUGCGCGUCUUUCGGUACUAUCAAAGACCGGC
rnacentral:rRNA from 1 species